GUGCGUAACGCGUAUGCAACCUACCUUUAUCAGGGGGAUAGCCCGGAGAAAUCCGGAUUAACACCGCAUAAAAACACAGGAUAGCAUUAUCCAAUGUUCAAAUAUUUAUAGGAUAAAGAUGGGCAUGCGUGUCAUUAGCUAGUUGGCGGGGUAACGGCCCACCAAGGCGACGAUGACUAGGGGAUCUGAGAGGAUGACCCCCCACACUGGUACUGAGACACGGACCAGACUCCUACGGGAGGCAGCAGUAAGGAAUAUUGGUCAAUGGAGGCAACUCUGAACCAGCCAUGCCGCGUGCAGGAAGACUGCCCUAUGGGUUGUAAACUGCUUUUAUCCGGGAAUAAACCUCUUUACGAGUAGAGAGCUGAAUGUACCGGAAGAAUAAGGAUCGGCUAACUCCGUGCCAGCAGCCGCGGUAAUACGGAGGAUCCAAGCGUUAUCCGGAUUUAUUGGGUUUAAAGGGUGCGUAGGCGGCCUGUUAAGUCAGGGGUGAAAGACGGUAGCUCAACUAUCGCAGUGCCCUUGAUACUGAUGGGCUUGAAUGGACUAGAGGUAGGCGGAAUGAGACAAGUAGCGGUGAAAUGCAUAGAUAUGUCUCAGAACACCGAUUGCGAAGGCAGCUUACUAUGGUCUUAUUGACGCUGAGGCAC
rnacentral:rRNA from 1 species